UACGAAGGGGGCUAGCGUUGCUCGGAAUCACUGGGCGUAAAGGGCGCGUAGGCGGCUAGAUGUGUCAAAGGUGAAAUCCCUCGGCUCAACUGAGGAACUGCCUUUGAAACUGUCUGGCUUGAGGCCGGGAGAGGGUAGCGGAAUUCCCAGUGUAGCGGUGAAAUGCGUAGAUAUUGGGAGGAACACCAGUGGCGAAGGCGGCUACCUGGACCGGUUCUGACGCUGAGGAGCGAAAGCGUGGGGAGCGAACAGG
rnacentral:rRNA from 1 species